rnacentral:rRNA from 1 species
UACGUAGGGCGCAAGCGUUGUCCGGAAUUAUUGGGCGUAAAGAGCUCGUAGGCGGCCUGUUGCGUCCGCUGUGAAAUCCCGGGGCUCAACCCCGGGCGUGCAGUGGAUACGGGCUGGCUGGAGGCAGGCAGGGGAGAACGGAAUUCCUGGUGUAGCGGUGAAAUGCGCAGAUAUCAGGAGGAACACCGGUGGCGAAGGCGGUCUGCUGGGGUCGAACUGACGCUGAGGCGCGACAGCGUGGGGAGCAAACAGG